rnacentral:lncRNA from 1 species
GCAUUGAGGCUAAUGGUUUUCUCUAAAACAAUGUGUCCUCCUCAUGACUGUUCUGAAACAGUUUUUCCCCAGGAAGGAAAAACUGACUUAGGCAGUGUUCCUUUGCCCAUGACCUUGGAAGUUCAGCCCAGAAUGCUGAGGGUGACAAGUAACUAGGAUCUAGAAGGCUGUCACAAAACUAACAUUGUGCGUGCUGACAAUUAAACAACAACAACAACAAAUGUAGCUAUUGUCAUCAUAACAUUGUAGAUGUGCCCUAAAUAACCACAUACUAUAUAUGCCAUGACCAAAUGAAUGCAUGAGGGCUCCCAUGAAACGAAUAAAUGAUAUGGUCUGGUAAAGAAUCUGCAGGAGACCCCGGUUCAAUUCCUGGGUCAGGAAGAUCCGCUGGAAAAGGGAUAGGCUACCCACUCCAGUACUCUAGCCUAGAGAAUGGUUCAUGGGGUCGCAAAGAGUCAGACACGACUGAGCGUCUUUCACCUCACUUUCAGAUGGGUUAAUUAAUUACCAACAGGGACAGGAAGCAGAUUGGUUGCCCCACUAAGCAGAGAGUUCACAGAGGGAUUUCCCAGAGCCACUGGGGAGUGGAGCGUCAGUAGACAGUGGUGGGGGAGCAGAACGUCAACCUGAAACUAUAGGGCCCUGAGAAAGAUCUGAGAAAGAUACCCUGUCACUCCCAGAGCUGCAGGGAACUGAAAGAGAAGUCCAGUCCUGGAGGUGGAGCUUGCGGAGACAGAACAGCCACUUCCUGGGCUUGCGUUUGGAGAGGUAUCCCCAAAUCUGGGCUCUCACAGUGAAACAGGAAGAACUAAACGAGGAGAAUUAAGGCUUUUAAACCUGAAGCAAACUAACUGACAGCAUGAAGCCAAACUAAGUAACUCUGUAUGGUCUGGAUGUGGCAAACAACCCACCCAGAGGAUGGAAACAGCCAUUCCACCUACGUACAUCCCUCCCCCCUGCCCACUCUCCAGACCUCUGCCAAGAGCCCGUUGACCACAGGCAUAGCCUUGCCCUUCCUCCACCCCAUAACCCCCA